AUAAAAGAAGAAACAAAAUUGUACAGAACUGCAAAAUGAAAGGAAUGAAGAGUAUCCAACUGGGGCUGGUUGCUUCCUAGGAUAUGAAAGUCCUCUGGAAUCUGACUACAUGAGGCUGCUGAUCAUCUUUUGUUUCCUGCUUCAUGGCGACUUUUCAACCAUAGCAACAGCUUGAGCAGGAAAGCCAUCACCCUCUCCAGCAGUAUGGGCUUCCCAGAGGACAUAGUUGCUCAAUCAAACCAAACCUCUGUAUAAAACAUGAGCAUGCACUGUGCACUGAAGAGCAUCUUUGGCCUUUGAAAAUCAGGUUUUUUGUCACCUGCGAUUGGACUAAAUUUCUGUGUGAGGUGGCACAAUGAACAGAGGACAAGGCCUGGAGUAAGGAAGA